rnacentral:rRNA from 1 species
UACGAAGGGGGCUAGGCGUUGCUCGGAAUCACUGGGCGUAAAGCGCACGUAGGCGGAUUGCUAAGUCAGGGGUGAAAUCCUGGGAAGCUCAACUCCAGAACUGCCUUUGAUACUGGCGAUCUUGAGUCCGGGAGAGGUGAGUGGAACUGCGAGUGUAGAGGUGAAAUUCGUAGAUAUUCGCAAGAACACCAGUGGCGAAGGCGGA